AUGCAAAACAGCAUUUCAGAUAAAUGAAUGGAAUAAAAAGGAGUUUUAGUACACAUUCUGUGUGUUUAACUAAUUUCCGCUCUUCUGUUUAUAGAUUCUGAUGAGGAAUCCCAAAGAGAACACAUGUCAGAAGAUGAAGUUGAAGAUUUAAAUUCCAAGGCGACCAUUCAGUAGAUGACCAUGGUUGAAAUCUGCUAAUACAAAUGAAUUCCUGAUUCCCAGUCUGUUACACUGAGGAUGGAGGAACCAGCUUAAAAAUAAAAAAAAUGUAAUUGAAAAAGGGAAGCUUUUUGUCUAGUCAGUAGUUUUCUGUCUAGUGUCUUCCUCCCAGACACAAACCCACACGAUGGCGUCAAUAAUUAAACUGACAAAAUAAC